rnacentral:lncRNA from 1 species
UUUUGGAGGGUGCGAGUGGCAUGUACGGACGUAAAGAUCUCUUUGUGAGGCACGUCCACGCACACACAGGGACCCUCAUUUUGUAAAACCUGGAUGGGCGGCUAGGAGGGAAGUGAGUAAAUCACCAGGCGCCCCUCCCAGCUGCCCGUGUCCCUGCGCCGCUCAGCUCCUGCCGCAGGGCUGGCCGCGCCAAGCGCCCGUCCUACCCAAAGCCACCAGCCCCGCGGGGAAGGGACUCGGGGUGUGGGGCGCGAGGUCCAGGACUCGGGGACCCCUCUAUCUCGGCGGCAGCGUGCGACCCUCUUUCUAAUGCGGCCGUGGAUGUUUCUUCCCGGGCCGCAGCCAAGCGCGGUUCUUCCUGGGCGGUGGCUUUGGGCUUUUCGUACCCACAGUAAAGUCAGUUCACAUCGCCUCCCGCACACACGCGUUCAUAAAACGAAACUGGAGUUUCACGAAGCAAUGCUUAGGCUUAGCGUCCAGGAACUCUGUAGACGGUCUAUUCUAUUCUACCCCUAUUCUACUCGGUUCGAUUCUGUUCCUAAGAAAAUGCCGAUCUCGACCCACUUGUACUUCCACGAUCCAGCACGGAGCUGCAGCCAGCAGCUCUGCAGGACCCCGCACUGCCCGCCACCGUCCCCUCUGGGAGUGCCUUCCUCCCGCUUUCCCCAACCGCUCCACUCGAGGAAACAAGGGCAUUUCAUCUCCAUCGACUUAAGAGGCUUCCUUGGAAGGAAGGCUGGCUAAAAGAAAACCAGCGGAGAAGAACUUAAUCCUGCUCUCAGCCCCUACUCACCCAUGUCUUUGUUACAGCUCUGUGAAGACUGACUGACAUGAAGAUUGAGAUGAGAAUUUCAAGAUGAAUUACAAAAUAGGAAAGAAGGAAGAAAGGAGGAAAGGAGAAAGAGAGGAAAGAAAGGUGGGAAGAAAGAUAAAAGACUUUGAGAUAAAUAUUUAGCUUUUCCAUACACAAAUGUACUCGUCAAAUAACACAUAAGAUGUGAUUCCCCGAAAUAAACCGAACGCAAAGGCCGUACGAAAAUAGCCGAUCUUUAAAGGUGAGAAAUACUCGAUCAUUCUAUUUCAGCUACAUACAAAUUAAAGAACAGCCUAAAAGGAGUUUCAUCGUGUGAAAGUAACAGACAGUCAAGCUGCCACUGAAAGCCUUUCCUGCUUAUUUUCUUCAGACUUCCCUGAAACUUGGCAGGUGGGGAAUUUGUUCUAGAUUCAUGAUGGGAAAGGUCGGGAGGGCAGGGGUGGGACCUGCUUUGCCCUGGGUUUGGAGCUCACCUUCUCUGCUGAGCCUUCUAGAGCAGAGGCUGUCUGGAUCCUACUGAAUGUCUGCACCGUGGGCUUGAAAUGGGGCUGCAGCAGUACACGCAGCGACUCUCGCUCUCCUUCUCAUCAUCCAUCACUACUUUUUCAAACGCUUUGCAUUUCGCAAUACUCUAAAGUACCAGUUUCCUCCCCAGAGUGUUAAUAAUACUAAAACAAGUUAUUUCUGCUGGCCCUAAAAGUCCAUAUACAGAUUCUUCAGGAAAAGUAGAAUACAAAAAGUAGUAAUUAGCAAUUUAACAUAGCGCUACAAGGAAAUAGCAAUAUAAGCAGAAAAACGAAGUAAUUUAUUUUUCUUUCCCCUCCCUAAACAAACUUGUAUAUAUUUCUACAGGCUUCUAUUUUGCUAUAAGCGUCACACAAAGAUACUCAUUCUUUUUCCCCAGAGGAAGCUGUGCAAUGUGGAGUCAUGCAGCCCAUCCCUCCCCUCUCUCAAUCCUAUAGCAGCUAGACGGUGUGGAGAAACAUGGUUAUUGUUUAAUCACAUCACACUGGCUGUAAAUCAACCAGCACGACAUAGGAUGCAUUUCAUGGCUGUGAACUCAUAGUCAGCAAAACCCUAAAACCCAGUUUGGCUUCAAAUAAUCUUGGUAGGCUUGGGAAAUGGAGCUUUGUAUUGUAAUUAUGUUUCCUGUAGUUUUCUACAAGUAGCUCACAAUAUAAAAACAACCAGGGAACUACAAUUAAGGAAAAAGAAAAAUGGUUUUCAAAGGCUUAGAAACAGACAUUGCUACCAUACACUGUAAAAGUAUUUCAUUGAAACCAGAGACGCACCCAGUUAAACUUCUCAAUUUAGUUUUGAGCCUAGCUCCAAUACUGCAGUCUAGCUGCUUCCUUUAACCUUCUGCCAAGGCUCUGUCUCCCUGAAAUUUAAUUAGACCAAGAGACCUUGGGAAGAAAAAGGAUGAGGUCCCCUCAGAACAAAACAUCGGCUCUCUAUGCCAGCUGUUCCUAGGCUGACAUCUGGACUGGGCAGUAAGCUUAUGUUCCAAUCAACUUUUAAGGAAAGACUACGAGCAUCCCAGCUUGUUUUACACUUAACUGUUCCUGAAGGAAUUUCUUACUUCUUCCCAUUGUGUCAUUUAUAGAAAAGAUAUAGUCAAUGGUUCAUCCUGCAAGGUUCUAGGCACAGGACAUACUUAAAGGGUGGCGUGGGGGGGGGGGCCUGUGUGGGAGAGCGCACACAGCUCUAGAAGGAGAGCAAGGAUGUGGAUUCCCUUCCUUAAAUAAGGCUUCCUCUGGGCUGGGAAGGAAUUAGGGGUGGCAAAUGCUCAUACAACGGGGUCCAAACUGCUGUGCUCAGAUACAGAACUGUGAGGAGUGAGAGGGGAGUGUGGGCCAUGAUACACGUCCCUUUAAUCUUUACCUCCCUCUUAAAGAUUUUUGAACUUCCACAAAUCCCUUCCAAUAGGGUAUAAUCAGCUCCUAAGGACAAGAGAGAAGAAUGAGCUUAUCUCCUGCACUCUUUUCUUCUUUUUUGACAGUUCGGUUCCUUCAUUAUACAUAUGCUUACAGCCUUAGUAUGACAAUGGGGGCAAAAGCUGAAUUAAAGUGAUGAUUUUAUGUACAGCUUCCCAAAAGGACUUCCACCAGUGCAACUGGGUGGUCUGGAGCUUUUCUUGAAAAAAGAGAAAAUAAAGCUUUGAGAAAAAUUUAAAGUAUUUCUAUGUGAAUAUGACAUUUCCUGAACUCUGGCUUCUGGUGUCUUCACUGUUUUCAUUGCUAUUCCUUAGGUGAACUAUACGGUUUCAAUAUGUAAUUUAUAAUUGUCAAAUUCAAUUAGGUUUAACUGAGCAUUUUACAGCAGCAAAACAGCAGGAGCAAUGUCUCCGUCCACACAGCCCUCCAGAUUUCUGACUCACGGACUGUGUGUAUUCAUUUGACCUUCGGGAGUUGUCCUUUAGCUGUACCAUCCAGGCAUACAUUUACAGAGCUGCAAACAGCAGCAUGGAGGAGGGCAUGUUUGGCUGCAGCCAUUUUUUAGGCUUUCCUGGCUUACGUUCUUGUUAAAGUGAACUGAUAAAGCGCCAGACCAAAUGCUGGAAAAGUCAUUAAGCCCGUUUCUGAGCCCACAGUAGUUAACGCAAACUCCAGAAAAGGAGAGACCAUAGUGUGCCAUUAUCUUCUACCCUAACGACAGGUCCCUUUCCUCAGAUCUCUCCCAUCUAGAUAACAACGCAGCUUUAAAAUCACACUGGUUAGUUUUCAUUCCUUCCCCCGAUGUUAUUUUGAUCCUUCUUUAACACAUUCAUUGCCUGGGAUCCUCCCACCUCCAUACCACUUUCUCCAAAACCAUUGUGGGGAAUGCUGUUCAACAGACUGUAUCACAUAGGAUGAUUUUUUGAAGUUCACAGUCUCAUUUCAUUUUCUCCCCUUUUCACUGAGUUUGCUUUGGGAAAACUUUAAUAUUUAGUUCAAACUAGGUGUUGGAUGCCACAUUUCCUCAACAGGUCUGCUUAUAAAGUUUGCAAAGAACAUCUGUUUAGGUGGAGAAAUAUUCUAAGAGUAUGAGAUCUUUUGGCAGAUUAUUGUUAAAUUUCUAAUGUACAUCUUGGAAGAAAUUGACUCUUGAUGCUCUAAAUAGGAGAAGAUGUAUGGACACGGAUGUUAAUAAGGAAAGCCGAGACUGAUGAAAGCCUUGGCGAAAUAUCUUCAGGAAUUUAAGAUACAGAGCUGUGAGGGGCGCUUAAUAUUCUUUUUUUCCCUUCUACUUUUCUUAGAAAAGCAAAAUUGAGGAAUAGCUCAGGUUCCAAGGGAAUAAAAGAAUGCCGGUGAAUUUGGUUCUUGAUCCAACUUUCUGCUAGUGUAGAGUGAAUAGGAAAGCUUGACUCUUGGGGCAAUGUUUCUUUUUCAGAAAGGCAGAGCUGCUAAACAACAACAAAAAGCCUCAGGAAAAAGCUCUCAAGUCUCACAGAGUAUCCUAGUCAAGAUUCCAGAUAGUUGAGAAUAAGACUGGGAAAUAACAAAAAAUGAAUUCUGAAAGAUCCCCCAGAAAAUUUGCAAUAUACGACAUCUCUUCUUGGGUGUAGCUUGAAGCCUCACAUGCUCACGAAUUUAUCCUUUGGUUUAAUCCUUCCCAAAGAGGGAGCAAAUGUCUGAGCAGUAAGAAAUGCUGUGGUGUUAACAGCGGUAAUGAACAUUUCCCCUCUGUUCCCUUACUGCUGUCUAUCCACACAAACUGAAGUGGAAGUCAGACCUCUCCUUUCAUGACAAGGGGCGAUAAGAGAGGAGAAGAAAACAGCAGGCGGUCCUGUCUGCUCAGGAAGCGGGACUCGGUGGGACUGUCCGUCGGCAGAGGCUAACAGAAACAAUGCUCAGGCAGACUCAGGGAAAUGGAGUCAGUCAGCACUGGCCCGAGGACGGUGCAGGCAGUGGAGAGGAAGUGGCAGAGGGAGGAGCAGGCCCUGCACCACGGCCUCGUCC